rnacentral:lncRNA from 1 species
AGUAGCUCCAACCCGUUCCUUCGGGCUAAGCUAUAGAUAGAACGGCGGACCAGUUUAACUGUUUAAUGUACUUGUUGGACUUCUUCAUCCACUGUCAUCAGAUCUAGACAUGUCAGAUAAUUACUUACGUGGAAUCUUGAAGCCUUCUGUUGAUUGUAUUAAUAUCAGUUAUUGUGUGCUUUUCUGUUGUUGCAUCAUCAUUUCUAAUAAUCAUAGGAGUGUUCUUUUUCCUAUUUUUCCGACUUUUUACAAGCUGAAAGUCUGACAUUCUUCUUUGAAGAUUUUCGGUAUUCGACACUACCUGCAGUGUAAAAUGCUGAACCAAACCCGUAUUAAUAAUUACUAACACGAAUUGUUUCCGGAUAAUUUUCAACUCUUUAAUAUUUUUUUUUUUUUUUUUUUUUUUUUUUUUUUAGCUCACCUGAACGAAAAAUUUAUACACCUUUACUGCUAGGAUUUCAAACUCCUGUGGAACAAGAGAGCUUUUCAAAUCCCUUGCCGUCAGUCCGUCGUCGUCCGUUUACUUUUACAAAAAAAUAAAUAAAUUUGGUAUAUUUGCUGUCUUCUGAUAGGUUAAAAUUAUUAGUUUUAUUUUCAAUGUUGUCAAUUUUGAUGGCGACACGCCCACUCUGACGUUGAGUAUUCAUACGCCAACAUGUGUGUACGUUGUUUUUGUUAAUAUAAAAAGUUCUUUGAGCCUUAUUUUUGAUAGAAAUUUAUUUAUAAUGAAUGGCAAUAAUUUAUUUUGAUUUUAUUGAACCAUAAAACUAAUUUUUGACUCUUCACAUUUUACAUAAUCC